AGCUGAAAUUCACCACUGCAGCACAUCAGCACAAGACCAGCAGACCACUUAAAUCCAGGAAGCACAGCAUUUAAAACAACUUGAAAACAUAGAUGCCUUGACAUCUGACAAACUCACAAGGAUAGCCACAUGUGUACUGACUGGCAUUUCCCUCUAGGCAAGGAGCUGGAUCAGGUACUUCAGGAAACCAGCUCUGGCAGCAUACAGGAAAAGAGAGACAGUGAUAUAAUGCACCAAAAGGAUUUUCCUGUCUAUCAGGCAAGAGAGUUGAUUCCUCGCUAGGUGGAGUGCCUACAGACAUAGGAGCUGGAACUAGUGGUGUGGAGGGUGCUGUCGCACCUUCUGUUUUGAAGUGUUUACAAUCAUAUACAGGGUUUACAGUUUGGUUCAGUGGUUCUCAGCACUCCCACUAUACAAAUUGUUCCAGCACCACUGCCUAGAGACUCCAACUGAGAUCAGGGUCCUACUGUGCUAGGAUCUGUACGUACACAGAAUGUGAAAGAGGCCCUGCCAUGAAGAGCUUACAACAGAGAUGACCAGUACCUGCUGAUAGUGGUGGGGCAGAGUGAGCGCAGCGGCUUCAGCAGAUGAUGCUGAGAAUGCUCAGUCUGUGUGUGCCCUCCCUUCCCUCAUGCAUCACGUCUGGCUUACAACCUGAUUUGACAAGACAGAUAAAGGCUGCGAGUGUCUCCCGAGCUACCCCAGCAUCCCCCUCCCAGAGGCUGGCGCAGA